AGGAGAGACACUUGUAUGAUUCAAUGCCUGGAGGGCAGGCCGCAGAAAGAGAGACUGAGGGAUUUGGGACUCUUUAGUCUGGAAAAGAGAAGACUCAGGGGUGAAUUGGUAGCAGCCUACAAUUAUAUGAGGGGUACAUCAGGACCUAGGAGAACAGCUGUUCACCAGAGCUCCCCAAGGGAUAACAAGGUCUGACAUCCACAAACUCCAGGAAGGAUGAUUUAGAUUAGACAUAAGGAAAAAUUCUUUACAGUGCAAGUGUCCAGGGUCUGGAACACGCUCCCCACCAGAGGUGGUACAAGCACCUACUCUGGACUCUUUCAAAAAAGAUCUGGAUAUUUUCCUUGCUGGGGUCACUUAAUCCCAGCUAACUUCUAGCCUAUGACGGUGGGGCUGGACUCAUCGAUCUCGGGAGGUCCGUUCCAGCCCCUAAUGUCUGUGAAAUCUAUUAAAUCACUCACUUAAUUGAAACAGCAUGAAUUUCUGCAGGCUGCUUGGUGUGGCUGCUGACACCCAAGCAUGGGAGCACCCCCAGUUGUGGGAUGUGCUCCUUAGUGGAGGGCCAAGUGUGGGAGCUUGAGGAGAAGGUGCACCAGCUAUGCACCAUCAGGCCCAUGAAGAUUAUAUUAACAACUACUGCCAGGCCUUACUCCAGGAAAACAGAGGAGAAAGGAUGAAUGUGGAGGAGAAGGGGGAGGAGGUGGCUACAAAGAAGACUAGCCACAAAGACCUCCCUAGAGCUGCCUGGAAAACAGUCAUCUCCAUGUCCAAAGCACGCAGAGCUAGGAUCACUCUUCCCCUGGCACUGCAAAACAGGUACACUCCCCUGACUACACCUGAGGAGACUCUAACAGAGACACCAGAGGAGGAGGUAAGUAUUCAGGAGGUAAGUAUUCCCAUCCCUAGGAGGAGAUGCCAGGUGGUGGUGGGGGACUCUGUCCCGAGAGGUACAGAGCGACCCCAUCUGCCAUCCGGACCCCUUAGCCCAAGAGGUCUGCUGUCUCCCUGGGGCCCACAUCCAAGAUGUUGCACAGAGGAUCCCCAGGCUUGUCCAUCCCUCCGACUAUUACUUCAUGCUCCUCAUCCAUGUGGGCACAAAUGACACAGCCAGGGUUAACUCUGACUGGGUCAUGAGUGACUACAGGGCUCUGGGGGCUGGGCUCAAGUGACUAGGGGCUCAGGUAGUUUUCUCUUCUGUGCUCCCUGUUGCAGGCCACGGACCCAGGAGGGAAGGCUGCAUGGAAGAGGUUAGCAGAUGCCUCAGAUGGUGCUCUUACCACAAGGGGUUUGGUUUCUUCGACCACAGCAUGCACGUCAGAGAGAGGACUCCUAGGACAAGAUGGCAUUCACCUCAUGCAAAGAGCAGUAUUUCACCAAGGGAGAUUCUACAAGGACCAAACAUUUCAAGGAACUAAACCUACAGGUUUCCCAAGACGGGCAUCUCUGCAAACAAGUCCUGAAUUGUCAUACAGGCUGAAGAUCGAAAAUAUCUUGCUGUCCGAAAUCUCUAGAAUAGAAACGGAUGCACCAUCAUCAGAAGUCAACUGUUGCACAUCUACCAAGUCUUCCUCCAAUUAUCCCUUCCUCCUCUGCUGUCUAGCUGGGUUGCCAGUCUGUUUCCUAAUAUGUUCUCUACUUCUCCAAGGUUAUCUGGACCAGAUGCAAUCUCACUGAUGGAAUGCUGGUAUACAAGCAGCUCUCUGAAAAAUGUGAGGAGGGAGGCUCAACUGGAACCCAAGCAGGAACCACAAUGAGGGAAGGAAGCUCUGGCUGAGUUAUAGACAAUGGUUGGUUUUCUGAAGUCCUGCAUUGUCUGCAGUUAAAGGGAGGAAAUUAACUAUAUGAUUACUAGAGACCAUGCCACCGAACCACCACAUUUUGCAGAUAUGAUCAUGGCUGCACAAAGCAACUUAGAUGGAGGCUGGAGACAGAUUGAUCCUGAAAUCAAGGACGAUUGAUCCAAUGAAUCCUAAGGCAAAAGCCAUCCUGAAGAUCCAGGAGCCCACAAAUCACAGCUGGAAAGUCCACAUGAAUCACAAAUGGAGACCCAAAUGUGGAAGGAAACAAUUUCUGGCCACAAUCCAAGGAGGCAAGAAUGCAUUGAUGAGGUGAACUAGCGUCUCUGACAGUGGUGCCCCAAAGAAGGCUUCGUCUUCUACGACCGCGGUGCCCACUUCAAGGACAGAGGACUCCUGGGGAGAGACAACAUCCACCUCACACGGAAAGGAAUCACAGACCUCACCCAGGAACAGAGACAAGACCAGCAUUUGAAAGACUAAGGACCCUGCAAAACCAGCAACUCUCACCAUUACAGACAUCUGAAACUGCACAUUCCUGCAUGGAGCACACAUGCUCAGUACACCAGGGGCUGACCCUUGCCUGGGCAUGCCUCCUGUCACUCACACAAGGUCUGCCCCUAUAAAAAGAGGCAGUGAAGACAGACCCAGUGGGAAUGCCAUUUCCAUCUGGACCAGCACCAUGCCACACCACCUAUCCAUCCAGAGGUCUUGCCGGUGACCCUCCUCUGAACAACACCUACUGGACAAGGACCCCUUCCAGUCUGAAUAGGUAGAUAUUACCUGCACACCUCCUCCUACAAUUAAGACUCUCUCUCUCUCUUGCCUCCUGGACUUCAGUGGACUUCAGCCCCUGCACCAAGCCUCUUUAACCCCUGCUGCCAUUGUGGGUGGGUGGGUAGAUGCAAGGGAAUCAAUUUGGCAUUGUGUCACCAUCUCCCCUGUUCAAUAACACCACUGUCAUUUGCAAACCCGAGUUAGGUCAUGUUUUACUGAAUCCCAGGCCCUUCCCUAUCUUAAAUUCCAGCCUCAUUCUCUCUCUCUCAGCUCCAGUCCCUACCCUCUCUGCUAGUUUUCUGAUCUCCUCCCAAUUCCAUCUCCCCUUUUCUGCCACCUCUCAGCCUUCCCUUCCUUUCCUGAUGUCCCUGCUGCCUGCUGCUUUUCCUGCUGUCCCUCUCUCUGUUUUCAGGCUUCCCCCGCACCUUCUGUAAUCCCCCCCAGCUUCCUAGCUCCACUUAGCUGUCUUGCAGUUCACUCCAGCAGCUGGAGCCUUGCUCCAGCUUCCAGCACCUACUACUUCUCUAGCUGCCACGGAGCCAUCCUCUGGCUCCCCACACCCAGAGCCCCUCCUUAACACCCACACUUUCCCUUAGUCUCAUUUUUCCCUCCCCCCAUCUACUUUUUCAGCUUCCCCGUACUUCUGGCUCCAGACCCAGCCUCUGUGCCAGCAUGCUUCCCUGUUCUGCAGGCUUUAGGUGUUGUCUUUUAAUCAAUUAAGAUCAAUUAACCUAAAGUUACCCCCAAGCCACAGUUCUUCAGUCCAGACCCAUCUAGUCUACCAGUUCUAAUCCCAGUCCCGGUGACUUUCAUUUCCAGUAACUUUAACUCCCUACACUUCUGCUUUCUUACCUUAACCUUUCCCCAGGUAUCCCAAGUACACCAAGCACAUGCAUACAUACACAUCACAACACCCCAACUUAGGAACUUACUUGUGUGUAUGUGUAUGAAUUAGUGAAUAGACAUAUAUAUAUACAUAUAUGGAUAUCAGUGUGUGUGUGUGUGGUAUAUGAAUUAGUAAUCCACGUAUGUGUAUUGGAUAUGCAGGUAUUGGUAACUGGUAACUGAUUCUGUCUAAAUGUGGUGUGUGUAGUGUGUAUGGGCUUAAAAUGGUGAUAGGUGUGCAUGAACCUAGACUGGUUAUUUUGAACAUGUGUUCCUAGUGUGAGUGUGAUAUAUAUGGCAUUGUGUGCAUGAUAUAUGAAUUAGUGAUCUGUGUCUGACUUUUGGGGUGUAUAGUGUAUGUGUUUAAAUUGGUGAUAGAUAUGCAUGUGCCUAGGCUGGUUUGGAUGUGUGUGUACCUGAGCUGGUGGUAUGCGUGUAUAUGCACCUAACUGAUUUGUGUGUUUGUAUAUGUGCAAUUGUGUCACACCCUCCUGUCUAACAGCGCAAUAUUUAGAUCCUGAGAGUUGGCCUGACCCCUCAAGACAACACCCUGUUGCAAUAGGAUGAAGCAUGACUAUCAGGGAGAUAGAGUACAUUACCUGUAUGGGGAGGGAAGAAAAUAAAACAGUGCAGUGCAGACUAGUUCAAUAUUAUUAAUUCAUGCCAGAGGUCCACAGCUGGAGUCCACUGAAAGGGAACCACCCUGGUUGGUUCUGGUCACUGAACCAAAAGUUAAAAUCCCAGAGGUCAGAUGGACCUGGUGCCCGGAGAGGGGCCACAGGCAGGAGCAGAGGCUCAUGCACACAACACAUACGUGUGGCAAUUUACUAGACUCCCAGUCAGAGAGCUAGCUCAGAUUGCUUGAAGGAAAAGAUGGAGGAACUUACCUCAAGCCAGGAGUCAAUGCAGGAGCAUUGAACAUGGGCCAGAUAAGAAGGCAACCUGGUGAGUGUAACACUUCUUGGCAAUUACCUGUGGGGAACAGAGAAGAGAGAGCAUUGGAGGGAACAGCCUCAAAGGAGCAGUUUCCUGUUGGUGGGAGGGAGGACCUGGGAGCCUAGCCAAAAACACUAUUAGACUGGCAUAAGCUCACCGCUAUGAUGUCUUGGGGAUGAGAUGUUAUUGCAGUGAGGCCAGAAAGGCAGACCUCCCAAUUUUUAUUUUCUCUUCUGCAAUUUUUCUUUAACAUCAAAGAUGUGACAGGUGAGUACAAAAGAGGACAAGUGGCUAUUGGGUGGCCCUGCUGCAGGUCUACUGUACAGUAGCCUCAAACUACCACACUUCAAAUUAACUACACUUGUA